rnacentral:rRNA from 1 species
UACGUAGGGUGCGAGCGUUGUCCGGAAUUACUGGGCGUAAAGAGCUCGUAGGUGGUUUGUCGCGUUGUUCGUGAAAACUCACAGCUCAACUGUGGGCGUGCGGGCGAUACGGGCAGACUGGAGUACUGCAGGGGAGACUGGAAUUCCUGGUGUAGCGGUGGAAUGCGCAGAUAUCAGGAGGAACACCGGUGGCGAAGGCGGGUCUCUGGGCCUUACCUGACGCUGAGGAGCGAAAGCAUGGGGAGCAAACAGG